GUGUCAGCCGCCGCGGUAAUACGAAGGGGGCUAGCGUUGCUCGGAAUUACUGGGCGUAAAGGGCGCGUAGGCGGCUUGCCAAGUCAGGCGUGAAAUUCCUGGGCUCAACCUGGGGACUGCGCUUGAUACUGGCUGAGCUUGAGGAUGGAAGAGGCUCGUGGAAUUCCCAGUGUAGAGGUGAAAUUCGUAGAUAUUGGGAAGAACACCGGUGGCGAAGGCGGCGAGCUGGUCCAUUACUGACGCUGAGGCGCGACAGCGUGGGGAGCAAACAGGAUUAGAUACCCCGGUAGUCC
rnacentral:rRNA from 1 species